rnacentral:rRNA from 1 species
UACGAAGGGGGCUAGCGUUGUUCGGAAUUACUGGGCGUAAAGCGCACGUAGGCGGUUCUGUUAGUCAGGCGUGAAAUCCCGGGGCUUAACCUCGGAACUGCCUUUGAUACUGUUGGACUAGAGUCUGGGAGAGGCGGGUGGAAUUCCAAGUGUAGAGGUGAAAUUCGUAGAUAUUUGGAGGAACACCAGUGGCGAAGGCGACCAUCUGGACGAGUACUGACGCUGAGAUGCGAAAGCGUGGGGAGCAAACAGG